rnacentral:lncRNA from 1 species
AUUUGGGCGGGGCCAGGGGCAGAAUGAUAUGGUUUGGCUGUGUCUCUACCCAAAUCUCAUUUUUAAUUGUAACUCCCAGAAUUCCCACGUAUUGUGGGAGGAACCUGGUGGGAAGUAAUUGAAUCGUGGGGGCGAUCUUUCCCAUGCUGUUCUCAUGACAGUGAAUAAGUCUCAAGAUCUGACGGUUUUAAAAAUGGGAGUUUCCCUGCGCAAGCUCUCUUCUCUUGUCUGCCACAGUGUGAGACGUGUCUCUCACCUUCCACCAUGAUUGUGGGGCCUUUCCAGCCACAUGGAACUAUAAGAAACAAUCUCAGGAUAAUGCAGUGCUAGCCCACUAACAAGGGAUGGAUUCGAAAAUUAAUCCCUGGUCUACAUAUACCAAAGUCAAAACUCUUCUCAUAACACAUGACCACCCCCAUGCGGAGAUGGAUUGCUACACACCAGGGAAACAAACACAGUGCCCUCAAUGGAAUAACAGCUUAAUAAAUAUUUGCUGAAUAAAAGAAUAAAGAAGUUUCCUAAAAAUAUAAUCCCUACAUGAACAUUGUUUUAUAUUUUGUUUCUUGUUGGUGAUAUUUUUCCACCUUUAGUUAUAUCUCUAUAUGGCUGUGGAACAUAGAAAUGUAUUCAAUAAUUGGAAAUCACACUUUCUCAUACAUGGGAAAUUUUAGGCAAUAUGCUAAAUAAACAAUUUUAAC